rnacentral:rRNA from 1 species
UACGAACUGUGCGAACGUUAUUCGGAAUCACUGGGCUUACAGGGUGCGUAGGCGGCUUUUCAAGUCAGGUGUGAAAGCCCCCGGCUCAACCGGGGAAUUGCGCUUGAAACUGAAGAGCUCGAGUCAGCUAGAGGUGCACGGAACUUCCAGUGGAGCGGUGAAAUGUGUUGAUAUUGGAAGGAACACCAGAGGCGUAAGCGGUGCACUGGGGCUGGCCUGACGCUGAGGCACGAAAGCCAGGGGAGCGAACGGG